rnacentral:rRNA from 1 species
GACGAACGCUGGCGGCGUGCUUAACACAUGCAAGUCGAACGGAAAGGCCCUGCUUUUGUGGGGUGCUCGAGUGGCGAACGGGUGAGUAACACGUGAGUAACCUGCCCUUGACUUUGGGAUAACUUCAGGAAACUGGGGCUAAUACCGGAUAGGAGCUCCUGCUGCAUGGUGGGGGUUGGAAAGUUUCGGCGGUUGGGGAUGGACUCGCGGCUUAUCAGCUUGUUGGUGGGGUAGUGGCUUACCAAGGCUUUGACGGGUAGCCGGCCUGAGAGGGUGACCGGCCACAUUGGGACUGAGAGACGGCGCAGACGCCUACGGGAGGCAGCAGGGGGGAAUAUUGCACAAUGGGCGGAAGCCUGAGGCAGCAACGCUGCGUGCGGGAUGACGGCCUUCGGGUUGUAAACCGCUUUCGCCUGUGACGAAGCGUGAGUGACGGUAAUGGGUAAAGAAGCACCGGCUAACUACGUG